CUGCUAUCGGAUGAUACUAAGCCAUGCGAGUCUUGUAGUAAUACAAGGCAGACGGCUCAGUAACACGUAGUCAACCUACCCUAUGGACAAGAAUAAUCUCGGGAAACUGGGCAUAAUUCUUGAUAGAUCAUAAUGCCUGGAAUGGUUUAUGGUUAAAAUGAUUCGUCGCCAUAGGAUGGGACUGCGGCCUAUCAGCUUGUUGGUGAGGUAAUGGCCCACCAAGGCGAUUACAGGUACGGGCUCUGAGAGGAGAAGCCCGGAGAUGGGUACUGAGACACGGACCCAGGCCCUAUGGGGCGCAGCAGGCGAGAAAACUUUGCAAUGUGCGAAAGCACGACAAGGUUAAUCCGAGUGAUUUCUGCUAAAGAAAUCUUUUGCCAGUCAUAAAACCACUGGUGAAUAAGGGGUGGGCAAGUUCUGGUGUCAGCCGCCGCGGUAAAACCAGCACCUCAAGUGGUCAGGAUGAUUAUUGGGCCUAAAGCAUCCGUAGCCGGCUUUGUUAGUUUUCGGUUAAAUCCAUGUGCUCAACGCAUGGGCUGCCGAAAAUACUGCAUAGCUAGGGAGUGGGAGAGGUAGACGGUACUCAGUAGGAAGGGGUAAAAUCCUUUGAUCUAUUGAUGACCACCUGUGGCGAAGGCGGUCUACCAGAACACGUUCGACGGUGAGGGAUGAAAGCUGGGGGAGCAAACCGGAUUAGAUACCCGGGUAGUCCCAGCUGUAAACGAUGCAGACUCGAUGAUGCAUUGGCAUAAUAGCCAGUGCAGUGUCGCAGGGAAGCCGUUAAGUCUGCCGCCUGGGAAGUACGUACGCAAGUAUGAAACUU
rnacentral:rRNA from 1 species